CCUACGGGGGGCUGCAGUGGGGAAUAUUGCGCAAUGGGCGAAAGCCUGACGCAGCGACGCCGCGUGGGUGAUGAAGGCCUUCGGGUUGUAAAGCCCUGUCGGGUGGAACGAACGAUCUGGCGGCGAAUAACCGCCGGGUGUGACGGUACCACCGAAGGAAGCCCCGGCUAACUACGUGCCAGCAGCCGCGGUAAGACGUAGGGGGCGAGCGUUGUUCGGAUUUACUGGGGGUACUGCGCGCGUAGGCGGCGAACACCCUCGGCUUAACCGAGGUCCCGCUGCCGAUACUGUCUGGCUCGAGUCUAGGAGAGGAAAGCGGAAUUCCCAGUGUAGCGGUGAAAUGCGUAGAGAUUGGGAGGAACACCGGUGGCGAAGGCGGCUUUCCGGACUAGUACUGACGCUGAGGCGCGAAAGCGAGGGGAGCGAACGGGAUUAGAUACCCAUGUAGUC
rnacentral:rRNA from 1 species